rnacentral:rRNA from 1 species
UACGUAGGGUGCGAGCGUUGUCCGGAAUUACUGGGCGUAAAGAGCUCGUAGGUGGUUUGUCGCGUUGUCCGUGAAAACUCACAACUCAAUUGUGGGCGUGCGGGCGAUACGGGCAGACUAGAGUGUGGCAGGGGAGACUGGAAUUCCUGGUGUAGCGGUGAAAUGCGCAGAUAUCAGGAGGAACACCGGUGGCGAAGGCGGGUCUCUGGGCCAAUACUGACGCUGAGGAGCGAAAGCGUGGGGAGCGAACAGG